ACUCAAAUGAAUUGACGGGGACCCGCACAAGCGGUGGAGCAUGUGGUUUAAUUCGACGCAACGCGAAGAACCUUACCUGGGUUAAAUCCCGGACUGCCGCCUCAGAGAUGAGGAAUCCCUUCGGGGGGUCCGGGACGGUGCUGCAUGGCUGUCGUCAGCUCGUGCCGUGAGGUGUUGGGUUAAGUCCCGCAACGAGCGCAACCCUUACCACGCGUUGCCAGCAGGUCAAGCUGGGCACUCACGUGGGACUGCCGGUGACAAACCGGAGGAAGGUGGGGAUGACGUCAAGUCAUCAUGGCCUUUAUGUCCAGGGCUACACACGUGCUACAAUGGCAGGAACAAAGCGCUGCAAACCCGCGAGGGGGAGCCAAUCGCAAAAAUCCUGUCUCAGUUCGGAUUGGAGUCUGCAACUCGACUCCAUGAAGGUGGAAUCGCUAGUAAUCGCGGAUCAGCACGCCGCGGUGAAUACGUUCCCGGGUCUUGUACACACCGCCCGU
rnacentral:rRNA from 1 species